rnacentral:rRNA from 1 species
GCUGGAAUUGCUGUAAUCACAGGUCAGCAUACUGUGGUGAAUACGUUCCCGGGCCUUGUACACACCGCCCGUCACACCAUGAGAGUUGAGAAUACCCGAAGCCCAUGUCAAAGUGGUCGAAGGUAGGCUUGAUGAUUGGGGUGAAGUCGUAACAAGGUAGC